rnacentral:rRNA from 1 species
UACAGAGGUCUCAAGCGUUGUUCGGAUUCAUUGGGCGUUAAAGGGUGCGUAGGCGGCGCGGUAAGUCGGGUGUGAAAUCUCGGGAGCUUAACUCCGAAACUGCAUUCGGAUACUGCCGUGCUUGAGGACUGGAGAGGAGACUGGAAUUUACGGUGUAGCGGUGAAAUGCGUAGAUAUCGUAAGGAAGACCAGUGGCGAAGGCGGGUCUCUGGGACAGUUCCUGACGCUGAAGCACGAAGGCCAGGGGAGCAAACGGG